UUUCCGUAGGUGAACCUGCGGAAGGAUCAUUAAUUAUAUAAGGCCACAGGGCAAGCUUCCCGAAAGGAUCGAGCUUGCUGUGUGAACCCUACCUACCCUUGCUUUUUGCGUACCCAUUGUUUCCUCGGCAGGCUUGCCUGCCAGUAGGACCCUCUUAAACCCUUUGUAAUUGCAGUCAGCGUCAGAAACAACGUAAUCGUUACAACUUUCAACAACGGAUCUCUUGGUUCUG
rnacentral:misc_RNA from 1 species